UACCCAGACUCCUACGGGAGGCAGCAGUGAGGAAUAUUGGUCAAUGGGCGGAAGCCUGAGCCAGCCAAGUCGCGUGAGGGAAGAAGGCCCUGCGGGUCGCAGACCUCUUUGGACGGGGAGCAAGGCCGCCGACGUGUCGGCGGAAGGAGAGUACCCGUAGAACAAGCAUCGGCUAACUCCGUGCCAGCAGCCGCGGUAAUACGGAGGAUCCAAGCGUUAUCCGGAUUUAUUGGGUUUAAAGGGUGCGUAGGCGGUUUUAUAAGUUAGAGGUGAAAUCUCGGGGCUCAACUCCGAAAUUGCCUCUAAUACUGUAGGACUAGAGAGUAGUUGCGGUAGGCGGAAUGUAUGGUGUAGCGGUGAAAUGCUUAGAGAUCAUACAGAACACCGAUUGCGAAGGCAGCUUACCAAACUAUAUCUGACGUUGAGGCACGAAAGCGUGGGGAGCAAACAGGAUUAGAUACCCUCGUAAAC
rnacentral:rRNA from 1 species